GGCAUUUGAAAGCUUUCCCAUGCCGGUUUGACUUGAUUUUUUCGCAAAAAAUCUGCACUAACCGUGAACGUGACUGGCAAGUAGAAACUGGCAAGCGACUUCCGACUUUCAGAUAAGUUCUCGCACCCGCACCAGCACCAGCAGCUUGAUCCCAGUUCCAAUACCAGUACUCCGCUGCACUGUAUGAAGUGAUACCCAACUGUUGUUUGUUGCCGGCGCUCAGUGACGCCCCACUUCCCGAUUGAAUCAGUUGUGUGUUCCCGCUAACGUCGAAUAUGGGCAUCGAAAAAUUUGUACCAUGCACCCUGAGGCUGAAUAAGCUGAUGAAAGGAAGUGGCACCGAUUGCGUUUGUGUGAUUGACCAGGAUGUUCUGCCUACAGAACUUAAGGCCACUUUCGACGAGCAUCGCUCGUUCGACAAGUCCUUCGAUAGCAGCAUCUCCUGCUUCCGAGCCGCUAAUGUGGAACAGCCUGUGGUCUACGCACCCGUGGGAGAUCUGAAUGACUACGAUGAUGUCCGAUCUUAUCAGGAGGCUGCCAAAAAAUCCAUGCAGAAGGUCCUCAAGGCUGGCUUCAACACUCCGUUGCUGUUUGUGCCCAAGGUGAAGCGCUUUCCCCAGGCAGAACUAUGCACCGUGCUCGGCGCCUUGGAGCAGCUGUAUGUUCCCAUUCAUUUACGUGAAGCCCAGCCCGGUAAGGACACCCGUGUAACCACCCUCAAUGUGCAGAUUGAUGAUCCCAAAGCGGACGAGAUUCUGCGCGAGGCUUUGAUUUUGGAAGCUGGUCGCUACGUGGCCCGCGACAUCGGCGGUGGCGACCCAGAGAGGAUGGCCCCCAGCCAGGUGGAGAAAUACGUCAAGAAUCUGUUUGACAAGCUCAGCAUGAAUGUGAUCAGCGAUUCGAAUACCCUGCAGAAGGACUAUCCUCUGUUCGCAGCCGUCAAUCGGGCUGCCGAUGUGGUGGAGCGUCACAGAGGUCGCAUCAUCUUCCUGGAAUACAAGCCUCCCAAGCCUGCCCGCAAGACGCUUAUGCUGGUUGGCAAGGGAGUAACCUAUGACACUGGCGGUGCCGAUAUCAAAGCCGGUGGUGUAAUGGCUGGAAUGUCGCGCGACAAGUGCGGAGCUGCUGCUGUCGCUGGAUUCAUGAAGGUGGUCAACGAGAUAAAGCCGGAGGAUAUCCAUGUCGUUGCCGCCUUGUGCAUGGUCCGCAACUCCGUGGGAGAGGAGUGCUACGUGGCCGAUGAGAUCAUCACUUCCCGAGCAGGUCUCCUCGUUCGCAUUGGCAACACAGAUGCCGAAGGACGAAUGUGCAUGACAGAUGCUCUCUGCCGCAUGAAGGAGAUGGCCGUCGAGCAGAGUCUGCCCGAUCCGCAUCUCUUCACGAUCGCCACGCUGACGGGCCAUGCUUUUAUCUCGGCCGGCGAGGGUCAGUCGAUCGCCAUAGACAACAGUGUGGCCCACCAGGCCGAUCAUGCUCGUAAACUUCAGGCAGCUGGCCAGACCUAUGGCGAACCCUUCGAGGUCUCUGUGCUGCGUCCCAGCGACUUUGCCUUUAACGCUGGCAAGGUCAUUGGAGAGGAUCUGGUACAGGCGAACAAUGCCCCGUCGGUGCGUACCCCACGCGGACACCAGGUGCCCGCCGCAUUUAUGAUCAUGGCGUCCGGGCUCGAUAAGCACGGCAUCAAUGCGAAGGUGCCGCUCAAGUAUACCCACAUUGAUAUUGCCGGCAGUGCCGGGGAAUAUCCAGCCAUGCCCACUGCCGCUCCUCUUGUCUCCUUGGUGAAGACUCACUUGUUAGGCUAGAUCCCGAUCCCGGCUGCAUGUUAUAUUACGCAAGCCCAAGUCCCGUACUCAGACAUCAUCACUACUAACUUUUAGUAGUGCCCUUCACCACAUUCUGGCUGCGAUCCACGUUGCCCACGUCGAAGCUUAGACUGGCAAUGCCUUGGGCAAGGGCGGGAUGCGUGGGCGCCAGGCAGAUUAGGCAGAUGCGAUUGGAGUGGUACAGCACCUGGUAGGCGGCAUUGGCUCGGAUGUAGUAGAAGCGCGUGAAGAAACGAUC